rnacentral:rRNA from 1 species
GAUGGACGCUGGCGGCGUGCCUAAUACAUGCAAGUCGAGCGAACAGAUAAGGAGCUUGCUCCUUUGACGUUAGCGGCGGACGGGUGAGUAACACGUGGGUAACCUACCUAUAAGACUGGGAUAACUUCGGGAAACCGGAGCUAAUACCGGAUAACAUUUGGAACCGCAUGGUUCUAAAGUGAAAGAUGGUUUUGCUAUCACUUAUAGAUGGACCCGCGCCGUAUUAGCUAGUUGGUAAGGUAACGGCUUACCAAGGCGACGAUACGUAGCCGACCUGAGAGGGUGGUCGGCCACACUGGAACUGAGACACGGUCCAGACUCCUACGGGAGGCAGCAGUAGGGAAUCUUCCGCAAUGGGCGAAAGCCUGACGGAGCAACGCCGCGUGAGUGAUGAAGGGUUUCGGCUCGUAAAACUCUGUUAUUAGGGAAGAACAAAUGUGUAAGUAACUGUGCACGUCUUGACGGUACCUAAUCAGAAAGCCACGGCUAACUACGUG